GACGAACGCUGGCGGCGCGCUUAACACAUGCAAGUCGAGCGAGAACCAGUCCUUCGGGACUGGGGACAGCGGCGAACGGGUGAGUAACACGUGGGUAAUCUGCCCUCGGCACCGGAAUAGCCCGGGGAAACCCGGAUUAAUGCCGGAUGGCCUCUCUGCCCCUCGGGGCGGCGAGAAAAGGUAGCUUCGGCCUCCGGCCGAGGAUGAGCCCGCGGCCGAUUAGCUUGUUGGUGGGGUAACGGCUCACCAAGGCGACGAUCGGUAGCUGGUCUGAGAGGACGAUCAGCCACACUGGGACUGAGACACGGCCCAGACUCCUACGGGAGGCAGCAGUGGGGAAUCUUGCGCAAUGGGCGAAAGCCUGACGCAGCGACGCGGCGUGCGGGAAGAAGGCCUUCGGGUUGUAAACCGCUUUCAGGAGGGACGAAGCCACUCGGGUGAAUAGCCUAGAGGGUGACGGUACCUCCAGAAGAAGCCCCGGCUAACUACGUGCCAGCAGCCGCCGUAACAC
rnacentral:rRNA from 1 species